rnacentral:tRNA from 1 species
AUGGGUGUAGCUCAAAUUGGUAGAGCGCCGGCCUCCAAAGCCGGAUGUUGCGGGUUCGAUUCCUGCCGCCCAUG